rnacentral:rRNA from 1 species
UGCCUUUUGCAUYAUGCUCAGAUGAUAGUUUGAAAAAUUUCUUUAACCGAAAACUCGGGAUUUCUUUUAUAGCUACCUAGAGUAGUUAGUCGAGUUGACUUUCCAGACUAUAAAAGUGAUGUGAUAAAUUAAACGGCCGAGUUUAUAACUGUUUAACAACUAAAGCAUUUUAUAAUAUUUAUGAGGCGAGGAGGUCUCGUAAAUUGAUAUAUUUAGUUUUGAUUUUUUUUAUAAUAGGGUUAAAAGUACCCACUCAUAGUAACAUUGUUCAUAAGUUUUUAUAAAUGUCAAGAAAUUAUUUAUUGCGGUUGUUUAAUUUAACUGAUUGCGAUUAAGAAUAUCUGAAUAAGUAAUAUAAUUAAAGUAAUUAUUUCUCAAAUACCGCCCGUCUGUUUAUUAAAAACAUUUCCAUAUAAAAUUAUUUAUGGUAGUACCUGCUCUAUGUAUGAUUUGUAAAUGGCCGCAGUAUUUUGACUGUGCAAAGGUAGCAUAAUUAAUUGCCUUAUAAUUGAAGGCUUGUCUGAAUGGUUUGACGUGGUGGUUAUAAAUAUUUAUUUUUUAAUUGAAAUUAGUUUGUGUGGCACAGAAACCCACUAGUUUAAUUAGACGGAAAGACCCCAGGAUCUUUCAUUUUUGUCUGGGGCAGAUUAGAAUAUUUUAUUCACAUUUGGACCCUUUUUGGUUUAGUGGUUUAAGUUACCCUGGGGAUAACAGUGUAAUAGUUUAUUAGAGGCCUUAUCGAAUAAACUGUUUGCUACCUCGAUGUUGACUUAGGUAAAUAAGCUGGGCGCAGUAGUCUAGGUUUUUGGUCUGUUCGACCUUAUAUACCUCCAUGAGUUGAGUUAAGACCGGCGUAAGCCAGGUCGGUUCUUAUCUAUU